ensembl:snRNA U6 U6 spliceosomal RNA
GUGCUCAUUUUGGCAGCAUGUAUACUAAACUGGAAAUAUACAGAGGAGACUAGCGUGGCUCCUGUGCAAGGAUGACACGCAAAUUCAUGAAGCGUUCCACAUUAAA